CCUACGGGGGGCAGCAGUGGGGAAUAUUGCACAAUGGGCGCAAGCCUGAUGCAGCCAUGCCGCGUGUAUGAAGAAGGCCUUCGGGUUGUAAAGUACUUUCAGCGGGGAGGAAGGCGGUGAGGUUAAUAACCUCAUCGAUUGACGUUACUCGCAGAAGAAGCACCGGCUAACUCCGUGCCAGCAGCCGCGGUAAUACGGAGGGUGCAAGCGUUAAUCGGAAUUACUGGGCGUAAAGCGCACGCAGGCGGUUUGUUAAGUCAGAUGUGAAAUCCCCGGGCUCAACCUGGGAACUGCAUUUGAAACUGGCAAGCUAGAGUCUCGUAGAGGGGGGUAGAAUUCCAGGUGUAGCGGUGAAAUGCGUAGAGAUCUGGAGGAAUACCGGUGGCGAAGGCGGCCCCCUGGACGAAGACUGACGCUCAGGUGCGAAAGCGUGGGGAGCAAACAGGAUUAGAUACCCCCGUAGUC
rnacentral:rRNA from 1 species